GCUGCGGUAGCUCAGUGGUAGAGCACUCCAUUGGUAAUGGAGAGGUCGACAGUUCAAUCCUGUCUCGCAGCACCA
rnacentral:tRNA from 7 species